rnacentral:RNase_P_RNA from 1 species
GAGUCGGCCGGACAGUCGCUGCUGAUGUGUGUGCUCCGCAUACUGCAUCGGGGGAGGAAAGUCCGAGCUCCGUAGGACAGGGCGCCAGGUAACGCCUGGGGAGCGCGAGCUCACGAACAGCGCAACAGAGAACAGACCGCCUGAGAAAUCGGGUAAGGGUGAAACGGUGCGGUAAGAGCGCACCGCCCGGGCAGCAAUGUACCGGGGCACGGCAAGCUCCGCCCGGAGCAAGAUCGAAUAGGCUUCCGUAUGAUGCGGUCCGUAUCAGGAGGCGGGUUGAUCGCUGGAACCUGAGAGCGAUUUCAGGUCUAGAGGAAUGACUGUCACUGCUUAUGCAGAACAGAACUCGGCUUACAGGCUGACUCA